UUCUCACCCAAUUUCUAAGCAUUUUCUCUCAUUUUUUUUUUAUUUACAAAGUCCACAUAUCAAAUAUUAGAUCUCAUCUUUUAUUCUUUCAAAGUUCUCCAGAAAAUAUUUCUAAAGUUGGGAAAACAACUCAUUCGAGUUCUUCAAAGAUCUUGAUCCAAUCUUCAAUAUUGGUGAUUCUAGAUCGAUUGAAGAGAAGGUCACUUGGGGGCUAAAAUUUGUGUUUCGACUAGAUCGUGAGUUUUCGAUCCACAUCAAGGAGGGGCCACUGCUAAUCAGAAUUAAGGUUCAAAUAUAGCUACUUGAUACACUUUGGCUUGAGAAGCAAAAUGUGAAUGUGAGUGGUUUUUAAAGGCAUUUGCUAAACAUGCCUAUUUACAUUUUGAAUUGAGGUUUGAAUUGUGUUUCUAGUGAUUCAAUUGUAUCUCAAAUGGUUUAGAUUUCAAAAUUGAUUUUAAUUUUAUGGAAACAUAUUUGUAAAUGAUUUAUGGAAAAAGUGAAUAGAGUGUUUGAUAUGGUUGA